GUCGAACGCUGGCGGCGUGCCUAAUACAUGCAAGUCGAACGCUUCUUUCCUCCCGAGUGCUUGCACUCAAUUGGAAAGAGGAGUGGCGGACGGGUGAGUAACACGUGGGUAACCUACCCAUCAGAGGGGGAUAACACUUGGAAACAGGUGCUAAUACCGCAUAACAGUUUAUGCCGCAUGGCAUAAGAGUGAAAGGCGCUUUCGGGUGUCGCUGAUGGAUGGACCCGCGGUGCAUUAGCUAGUUGGUGAGGUAACGGCUCACCAAGGCCACGAUGCAUAGCCGACCUGAGAGGGUGAUCGGCCACACUGGGACUGAGACACGGCCCAGACUCCUACGGGAGGCAGCAGUAGGGAAUCUUCGGCAAUGGACGAAAGUCUGACCGAGCAACGCCGCGUGAGUGAAGAAGGUUUUCGGAUCGUAAAACUCUGUUGUUAGAGAAGAACAAGGACGUUAGUAACUGAACGUCCCCUGACGGUAUCUAACCAGAAAGCCACGGCUAACUACGUG
rnacentral:rRNA from 1 species